AGAGUUUGAUCAUGGCUCAGAACGAACGCUGGCGGCGUGCCUAACACAUGCAAGUCGAGCGAGAAAGUUUCCUUCGGGAAGCGAGUACAGCGGCGAACGGGUGAGUACAACGUAGGUAACCUACCCCCGAGACUGGGAUAACCUGUCGAAAGACGGGCUAAUACCGGAUAAGACCACGAGGGCUGAGGCCCUUGGGGUAAAAGGUGGCCUCUGUUUACAAGCUACCACUCGAGGAGGGGCCUGCGCGCCAUUAGCUAGUUGGUGGGGUAAAGGCCCACCAAGGCGAAGAUGGCUAACUGGUCUGAGAGGAUGGCCAGUCACACUGGGACUGAGACACGGCCCAGACUCCUACGGGAGGCAGCAGUGGGGAAUAUUGCGCAAUGGGCGAAAGCCUGACGCAGCGACGCCGCGUGGAGGACGAAGGUCUUCGGAUCGUAAACUCCUGUCGAGCGGGACGAAGCCGAGACGGUGAAUAGCCGCUUCGGUGACGGUACCGCUAAAGGAGCC
rnacentral:rRNA from 1 species